AUGAACGCUAGCUACAGGCUUAACACAUGCAAGUCGAGGGGCAGCAUGGUCUUAGCUUGCUAAGGCCGAUGGCGACCGGCGCACGGGUGAGUAACACGUAUCCAACCUGCCGUCUACUCUUGGACAGCCUUCUGAAAGGAAGAUUAAUACAAGAUGGCAUCAUGAGUCCGCAUGUUCACAUGAUUAAAGGUAUUCCGGUAGACGAUGGGGAUGCGUUCCAUUAGAUAGUAGGCGGGGUAACGGCCCACCUAGUCUUCGAUGGAUAGGGGUUCUGAGAGGAAGGUCCCCCACAUUGGAACUGAGACACGGUCCAAACUCCUACGGGAGGCAGCAGUGAGGAAUAUUGGUCAAUGGGCGAGAGCCUGAACCAGCCAAGUAGCGUGAAGGAUGACUGCCCUAUGGGUUGUAAACUUCUUUUAUAAAGGAAUAAAGUCGGGUAUGCAUACCCGUUUGCAUGUACUUUAUGAAUAAGGAUCGGCUAACUCCGUGCCAGCAGCCGCGGUAAUACGGAGGAUCCGAGCGUUAUCCGGAUUUAUUGGGUUUAAAGGGAGCGUAGAUGGAUGUUUAAGUCAGUUGUGAAAGUUUGCGGCUCAACCGUAAAAUUGCAGUUGAUACUGGAUAUCUUGAGUGCAGUUGAGGCAGGCGGAAUUCGUGGUGUAGCGGUGAAAUGCUUAGAUAUCACGAAGAACUCCGAUUGCGAAGGCAGCCUGCUAAGCUGCAACUGACAUUGAGGCUCGAAAGUGUGGGUAUCAAACAGGAUUAGAUACCCUGGUAGUCCACACGGUAAACGAUGAAUACUCGCUGUUUGCGAUAUACGGCAAGCGGCCAAGCGAAAGCGUUAAGUAUUCCACCUGGGGAGUACGCCGGCAACGGUGAAACUCAAAGGAAUUGACGGGGGCCCGCACAAGCGGAGGAACAUGUGGUUUAAUUCGAUGAUACGCGAGGAACCUUACCCGGGCUUAAAUUGCAGAUGAAUUACGGUGAAAGCCGUAAGCCGCAAGGCAUCUGUGAAGGUGCUGCAUGGUUGUCGUCAGCUCGUGUCGUGAGAUGUUGGGUUAAGUCCCGCAACGAGCGCAACCCUUAUCUUCAGUAGCCAGCAAUUUGGAUGGGCACUCUGGAGAGACUGCCAGGGAUAACCUGGAGGAAGGUGGGGAUGACGUCAAAUCAUCAUGCCCCUUAUGACUUGGGCUACACACGUGCUACAAUGGCGUAAACAAAGGGAAGCGGAGCCGUGAGGCCGAGCAAAUCUCAAAAAUAACGUCUCAGUUCGGACUGUAGUCUGCAACCCGACUACACGAAGCUGGAAUCGCUAGUAAUCGCAGAUCAGAAUGCUGCGGUGAAUACGUUCCCGGGUCUUGUACACACCGCCCGUCACACCAUGGGAGUCAGCAACGCCCGAAGUCAGUGACUCAACCGCAAGGAGAGAGCUGCCGAAGGCGGGGCAGGUAACUGGGGUG
rnacentral:rRNA from 1 species